UACGUAGGGUGCAAGCGUUAUCCGGAAUUAUUGGGCGUAAAGAGCUCGUAGGCGGUUUGUCGCGUCUGCUGUGAAAACUGGAGGCUCAACCUCCAGCCUGCAGUGGGUACGGGCAGACUAGAGUGGCGGUAGGGGAGAUUGGAAUUCCUGGUGUAGCGGUGGAAUGCGCAGAUAUCAGGAGGAACACCGAUGGCGAAGGCAGAUCUCUGGGCCGUAACUGGACGCUGAGGAGCGAAAGCAUGGGGAGCGAACAGG
rnacentral:rRNA from 1 species